CCCGCCGAUCUCCUCUUCCCCGAGCCGCACCUCGCGACGCCGCCCCAUCCUCACCGCCGGCCUCUACCGAGCCCUCACCUCACGACACCGCCUGAACCCCUCUCCCUCUCGCGACCCACCGCACCCCAACCGACAAUUUCCUUCGCCUCUCGAGUUUUCGGACGCCGUCGGUCUUCUCCUCACGCGAGCACCCAAGGCCAUAGCUCUUUCUCCCUCGCACGAGCACCCCCAUCGCCAGCCCUAGGGUUCCAGCCGGCGAGGAAGCUGUGGACACCAAGAUUGGGGCUUUGAUUGAGGCGGGCGUCGUGACGGAGGUAUUGGAUUCAGACUACAUUUUGAGACAGGUAACAAGUAGAUGAGUCAUGGAUGCUUGGAGAGUCCCGGCUGCCAGUCCCACGUCACACUCGAGGAUAGUUUUCUUUUUGGGUUUUGUUACUGUUUGGGUAGUAUGUUAAUUUUACAUAUUUUGCUUUUGAACAAGUCAUUGUGGAUUUUUGGAGUCUAGUCUGGUGGUUGAAGGUAUUUUUGUUAGUGCUGUUGUUGGUUUUACAUUCGAAUAAUUUUAUGGUUUUCCGCUACGUUUGAUACA